AAGAGAAAGGAAGAAUACAAAAUGGAAGCCUGGGAUAGAGAUCAUCUCCUAGGAAAGGGGGAGGCCACCCAAGGCCUGUCAGGGGGAGGGCUCCACUUCUCAGCCCAUCUGCAGUAGGUCCACAUUCGGGGUAGGCAAGAGCAAGGCCUGCUGGAAAGGGAAACUGCUCAUCAAGAAACUGAGGGAGGCUGGGCACGGUGGUUCAUGCCUGUAAUCCCAGCACUCUGGAAGUCCAAGGCUGGCCAUGGGGGUCUCCACCAGCAGCUGAGGUGGAGAGAGAGGAGAGCUUUGUAGGAACAGAGAAAGGAAUGUCACAAGGAAGGCAGCUGACCAGGCUUCCAGACAGACAGGGGAAUCUUUUCAUCAUGGUCUCCUUCACUGCUUUCCAAAUCUCAUUUAACCUCCAUGUUUCUUGCUGCAAUUUCAGUUGGUGUCUUUAGGGGCAGGGGAGUCAAUUGGUCACUGUUGGCUUCUUGCAGACUUGAACCCCAAGUCUGACCACAUUUUUGCAAGACCCAUCGGGAGAAGGAUCCUCCCCUUUCUGAAAGAACAAUAUUCUGGAGGGGCUCUUCUUGACUGAUGUUUAGUAGGCUCUUCUGCUGGAUAAUUAUGCCUCAAACAACCCCAAGCAGCUACCGCAUGAGGUCUUCACAUCCAUCUGCCUGCCUCCAGGAGCACUUUCUAAGCUAUCUCCCAGAGAUAGGGCUCACCCUUAUUCCUGAGAGCCUCCGGUGAGGAGGGUGCCCUAGCUCCCAUAGUAACCCCAGAAUUAGUCUCCUUAAAGGCUGGGGAUCAUGGCUUGUUCAAUAGUUUUUCUUCAGGUUCGGGCAUAUAGAAGGGGCUCAAUAAAUAGUCACAGAAUCAAUAACUAUUACAAAAGCCCCAUUGAUGGAAUGCUCGCUCCGUACCAAGGCUGAGAAGGGUGAUCUGUCACCCAAAGUAGGACCCCUUUGUUGCUCCCUGAACCAACAACCCAGAAGAGCCUGCCAGUUUUGUAGUUUUGUUUUUCCUUUUCUUGCUAUUUGGCCAGGAGCAGCAGUAGCAGCAGCUCCAAGAACACUGGCUCCUUCUUAGUCCCAUGGAAGCACAGAUCAACAUCAUUGCCCUUGCAAACUUCUCUCAGCUUAGGAGAGUCUACUCGCUCUUUGCACAUUGUUGACAUGAAAUGAAUAUUAAACACCAAACCUCAUAGAGGCCAGCCCUGCUGGGCGAGCAAUGA
rnacentral:lncRNA from 1 species